rnacentral:rRNA from 1 species
GAGAUUGCCGUAAACGAUGGGCACUUGGUGUUGGGGGUAUUGAGUCCCUCGGUGCCGGAGUUAACACGUUAAGUGCCCCGCCUGGGGAGUACGGUCGCAAGACUGAAACUCAAAGGAAUUGACGGGGGCCCGCACAAGCGGUGGAGCAUGUGGUUCAAUUCGACGCAACGCGAAGAACCUUACCGGGGCUUGAACUGUAACUGCUACCCUUGGAAACAGGGGAUUCUCGUAAGAGACGGUUAUAGAGGUGCUGCAUGGCUGUCGUCAGCUCGUGUCGUGAGACGUUA